rnacentral:rRNA from 1 species
UAAACAUUGAUACAUUGUUACAUUUUCAAUCCGCCCGGGUACUACAAGCACUAGCUUAAAACCCAAAGGACUUGGCGGUGCUUAAGAUCCCCCUAGAGGAGCCUGUUCUAGAACCGAUAAUCCACGUUUAACCUCACCCUCCCUUGUUUUUCCCGCCUAUAUACCGCCGUCGUCAGCCUACCCUGUGAAGGUCUAACAGUGAGCAAAAAUGGCACAGCCCAAAACGUCAGGUCGAGGUGUAGCGCAUGAGAGGGGAAGAAAUGGGCUACAUUCUCUAAAAAAUAGAAGCACACGGAUAAUAUAUUGAAACAUAUAUUUUAAGGAGGAUUUAGCAGUAAGUAGAAAUUAGAAAAUUCCACUGAAUCCGGCCCUAAAGCGCGC